UGGGAAAGUUUUAAAAGUCCUUGUCACCCCAUCCUCUCCAUUCCCCGCGACACACAUCACAUCCCCAGGACACGUGUCACACCCCUGGGACGCGCGCCAGCCACGCCCACGCCUGCUCUCCACCCCCACCGCUCUUCGCCACUGCUCAGCGGGAUGCCAUAUGAACCUAGAAGGAGAUCAGCAGGCCAGGGAGGCUAGUUUGUGGUGUGUGGUUCCUGAGACAAAGUGGGCUGGAUAAGUUCAACCUCAGUUCACAGAAGAGAACAUUCUGUUCUCUGCACAACAGGCAGGACUGCUGUAAAACAAGAUCAACAACAUGAGCUCAGCAGCAGAAGCCCCACAAUAGAGAGGGAGAAUUAGUCAGAGGAUUGCUCCAUCUACAUUGGAAACACACAGAGACAGGAGUGCGCAUGGAUGUGAGAUCAAGGGCUAUAGAAGGCAAACAUUCCAAGCUAUGAAGAGGAGUGAGGGAAGAAAUCCUGUGUAACAAGAAUUGGAAGCGGCAUGCCUUUUUUCCCAAAACUGCAACUUGAGGAUGUCACUGCGGCUGUUAUCACGAAAGCUCAGAAUCCUGUCAAUCACAGUCAGGACCAAUUUGGACAACAGUGCUCCCCACAAGGAGCCCUCAGAACACCUAACCCAGCAGGAGGCUAAGGAAAGGCUUAUGCAUUUUCUCUUCCUCUUAUUCCAGGCUGCCUGUGCUUUCUAGCCUCACAUCCCUCAACAA